AGAGUGGGCGGAGUUUAGUAAGGAGGAAAUAGCGUAGCUGGGCUGCGCCAGGAGCCGGAUGUGCGUUGGUUUUAUGUCAGUUCCGGCUCUGAGUGGGAGCCGUUAGAGUUUUCUUUUGGGUGUGUGAGCUGUUGGGUCCUUUCUGGGGUUUCCAGGCUGGUAAUUGUCAUCAGCAUCGCCUGCUUGUUUAUUGCGAAGCAAAUUCUCAACGCCCAACCCAGACCUCCUGAAUCAGAAACUCUGGGGAUGGGCUCAGCAGUCUUUUAGCAAGCCUCCAAGUGAUGCCGGUGUCCGCUCAAGUUUGAGGACCACUGCUUUAUAUAAUAAACGCCUUAGUAGCAACAAAAAGCUAAUUAAAUUAUGGGAGAGCUUAUUGGAGAGGAGAUGGAUUUAUUUAAAACAUUUUGUUACAGCCUGUUUGUUUUUUAACUAAGUUAAUUAUGUAAGUUAAUCUAGCCUGAUAGGGAACAAUCUUCAAGUUAUAGUCUUGGAUGAUAAGCAGACUGGUGUGAAUAGUUUAUCUAUGUGUAAAAAGAAAUGCGCAUUAAGUGUGUAUUUUGUAAUAUAAACUUUCUGGAUAGAUACACAAACCUAUCGAGAUUUGGAGUGGAAGCCAAAGGUUUUCACUGAUUACCGUUCUUACUGUUUACUCUUUUUUAAAAUUAUGUAAUUUUUUUACAAUUAAAAAACAAAACUAGUUUAAAAAGAGAGAAGAUAAAGGCCUGAAACACAAAGAGGCUGUAUGAAUGCCAAGAAAGAACCUUUUCUGGGGCUUGGAGUCUGUUGUGGCACCCUUAAGAAGGCCCUCCUCUCAGAUGGGCUAACUUUUAAACUCACAUCUUUCUUCAGUUCCUCCUUGCUCCGCUCCCCCCUCCCCCCCCGCCCCCAAAGGGCCUUUCCUUUUUUUCUCUACGUACGCACACGUAUCCCUCAUAGUCAGUUAGAUAACCUGUAAAGAUGGAAACAAGAUCAGGUUUGUGAGUAUGAUUGGGAUGGCAGUCAAUUUGAAAGAAUCGAAAAUCCUGCAGAGGGCAGCAGUGUGCAGCUAGAGUUAAGAGAGAAGACGAAUCAUAAAGGAUGUACUUUUCCGUAACAGGGUAGAAAUUUGUUUAAAAUACAAUGUAGUUUAUAACUGCUUUGUUUUUUUUAAGAUUGGCACCUGAGCUAACAUCUGUUGCCUUUUUCUUCUUCUUCUUCUUCUGCCCAAAGGCCCACAGAACAUAGCUGUGUAUUGUAGUUGUAGAUCCUUCUAGUUCUGCUAUAUGGGACACUGCCUCAGCGUCGCUUGAUGAGCGGUGCUAGGUCGGUGCCCAGGAUCCCAAGUCAGGGAAACCCUGGGCCGCUGAAGUGGAGCGCGGGAGUUUAACUUCUCUGCCAAGUGGCCGGCCCGGACCCGCUCUUAUUCUCCUUGUGUGUUUUAACCAUGCCAAGAGGAUCUUCCUUGAAUAUAAACUAUAUAGUUGUAUGAAAAUCUCUCAAAUAGGAACUCUUCAUGAACCUCUUAGGUCGGAAAAUAGGAAAAUAUUUUAUUAUAAGCUACUGUAUAGAUUUCUUUAUCACCUUGAUAAGCUUUUGUUUGCAAGAUUGCUCUUAAUUUCUCCCUCUGUGCGACAUCGAUUAUAUUUGGAAAGAAAAGCUAUAUUGAAUUUUAGUUCUCACAAAGAGAUGAUAACAGUUGUAGGUACCAUGCACCAUUCUAAGAACUUUACAUGUAUUCAUUUAAUUUUCGUAAUGAUUCUAGAUGCUAUUAAAGACAAAACUGGAGCAA